GGCUAUAUCUCCCACGUGUCGAAGCACGACUUAGAGGCAUAACCGCAUUGAAAGGAAUGUCGCAAGUGAGGUAAUCUUCACACAACCCAUGUAAUACAUAAGGGAAAAGGAUACAUAGUUGGCUUACAAUCGCCACUUCACACAAUACAUGAAUAGAGCAUUACAUCAUCCAAAUGCAAUCAAGGUCCGAAUACGGAACCAAAAUAAAAGAAGAACCCCAAAUGCGACAAGGUCCCCGAUCAACCCCAACUGGGCUCCACUACUGAUCAACUAGAACGAAACAACACAAAGGACAAGAUCUUCAUCGAGCUCCUCCUGAGCUUGGUUGCGUCAUCUGCACGGAGUCAUCGGCACCUGCAAGCUGGUUUUGGAAGUACCUGUGAGUCACGGGGACUCAGCAAUCUCACACCCUCGCGAUCAAGACUAUUUAAGCUUAUGGGUAAGGUAAAGGUAUGAUGUGGAGCUGCAACAAGCAACUAGCAUAUAUGGUGGCUAACAUACGCAAAAGAGAGCGUGAAGAGAAGGCAAAGCACGGUCGAGAAACUAUGAUCAAGAAGUGAUCCUAGAACAACCUACGUCAAACAUUACUCCAACAUCGUGUUCACUUCCCGGACUCCGCCGGAAAGAGACCAUCACGGUUACACACGCGGUGGAUGUAUUUUAAUUAAGGUCAACUUCAGGUUUUCUACAACCGGACGUUAAUAAAUUCCCAUCUGCCCAUAACCGCGGGCACGGCUUUCAAAAGUUCAAAUCCCCGCAAGGGUGUCCCAACUUAGCCCAUCACAAGCUCUCACGGUCAACGAAGGACAUUCCUUCUAGCGGGAAGACCCGAUCAAACUCGAAAUCCCGGUUACAAGACAUUUCGACCAUGGUAAAACAAGUCCAGCAACACCGCCCGAAUGUGCCGAUAAAUCCCAAUAGGAGAUGCACAUAUCUCGUUCUCAGGGCACACUCAGAUGAGCACUAUGUACAACUAAAACUAGCCCUCGAGUUUCCCCGAGGUGGCGCUGCAAGUGGCUCUGUUUGGACCAACACUCAGAGCAGCACUGGNNNNNNNNNNNNNNNNNNNNNNNNNNNNNNNNNNNNNNNNNNNNNNNNNNNNNNNNNNNNNNNNNNNNNNNNNNNNNNNNNNNNNNNNNNNNNNNNNNNNNNNNNNNNNNNNNNNNNNNNNNNNNGACCCUUGAGUCUGCAGAACCCAAGGGAAAAAAGGCUAGGUGGCGAAUGGUAAAACCAAUGUUGGGCAUUGCUGGAGGAGUUUUAUUCAAGGCGAACUGUCAAGGGGUUCCCAUUAUAACCCAACCGCGUAAGGAACGCAAAAUCCGGGAACAUAACACCGAUAUGACAGAAACUAGGGCGGCAAGAGUGGAACAAAACACUAGGCAUAAGGCCGAGCCUUCCACCCUUUACCAAGUAUAUAGAUGCAUUAAUUAAAUAAGAGAUAUUGUGAUAUCCCAACAAGUAAACAUGUUCCAACAAGGAACAACAUCUCCAUGUUCCAACAAGGAACAAACUUCAUCUUCACCUGCAACUAAUAACGCUAUAAGAGGGGCUGAGCAAAGCGGUAGCAUAGCCAAACAACGGUUUGCUAGGACAAGGUGGGUUAGAGGCUUGCUUCAACAAUAUGGGAGGCAUGAUAAGCAAGUGGUAGGUAUCGCAGCAUAGGCGUAGCAAAAGAGCGAGCAACUAGCAAGCAAAGAUAGAAGUGAUUUCGAGGAUAUGGUCAUCUUGCCUGAAAUCCCGCAAGGAAGAAGAACGAGUCCAUGAAGAAGACAAACGGACGUAGUCGAACGGAUCCUCACAAUGCAACGUUAUCGGAACCAACCCGAAGAAGCAACACCGGAAAAGAGCAAACAACAUAGUAAACAACCACCACAUAGACAUGGCAUGAUGCGCAAACAAGUAUGAUGCAUGUCCGGUUUAAAGAGGGCAUGGCAUGGCAAAAUGCACAAGCAACCCUACAAAUUAAGUGGAGCUCAAUAUGCAACUCCGUUGCAUAUUGACGAAACACCACGUGACUUAUUUAGUUCAAUCUCGUUUAUGUACCCAACAAGAUUAAAUGUUGAUUAACAUGGCAAGAGGUGAAGCUAAGUAAAACCACCUAUCUAGUCAAGUUUAAAUGAGGCCGGAAGCAACGAACAACAAUUCUGGAAAAACCCCAUAUGCAUAUAUUAGGUUUGUUACGGUUCUGCCCUAUACACAAUUUUAGAGUUGUUAAAGAUGCAAAGUGAGGCCACCAAGUUAAACUAGGCAUUUUUCCACCCCAUUUACAUAUAAAGUUUGUUAGGUUUGGAGCUACGGUUAUUUAGUUAUGAAAUAAAUCAUUUUAGCAAGUUAAUUAAGCAAGUUUAAACAAACAGCAUCUUAAGCAUUUUAAACAUAGAUGAAAGUUGGGUAUUAUUAAACUAGAUGAAAUUCUAAACAAGUUUCAUAUAUAAAGUUUUUCCAUGUGAUGCAUAGUUUGUGAGUUAUUAAAUGUAUGAACAUGAAGGUCUUUUCUGCAAAAGUGCUCUCUCUGGGAUAAAGGCAAAAUCGCAGACCUGAAAAAAAACAGGAACUGGGCCGAAUCUGGCCGGCCCAACAAGAGAAAAAAAAACAAGAGGAGGGGGCACUUGGGGGCUGCUCACCCUGGGCCUGGCCCAACUGGAGGAGGAGGCCGGGCAGCUGGGCCUCGCGCAGCGGUCAACUGGAGAAGGAGGACUCGGCGCUUGUCAUCGUCCUCGCAUGCUCGCAUCUAGAAACAGGGGAAGCAGCGACCGAUGCGGAGGAGGCAGCAGCAGGACGAACUCCGGCGGCGCUCGGAACCAGCAGGAGACGGCGAAGGCAAGGGGAAUCCGACCGGAUCCAAGGCGGAGCGACUGGAUCAGGCAAGGGUGGACUUGGAGCUCCAGGCAUCGGCGUUCUUCGCGGCUUGGUGCAGUUCGGCGCAGAGGAGCGGCGAUGCUGAUAGCCUACUCCAGCGAGAGGACGGCGAGGGAGCCUGGCGGGCGUUGGAAAGCUGCAGAAGGACCGGGCUUGGAGCAGAUCGGGCGCAGGGAUCCAGGACCCGUGAGGGGGACAGGGGCGGCCAACGUUCCUGGGGCUUGGCCGGCUCGUUGAAGACGAGCAGCAGCGGGUCGACGCAGGCGGCGGCUCGCUGCAACGUAGAGACGAGUCGGGGACGGACUUGGUGCGGCGGAGCUCGGGGCCAUGGCGAGCGGAGCACCUCCGAAGGGGAAGAGAGAGGUCAGGGACGGGCGAGAGGAGAUGAAGCACGGGAAGGAGAGGGGCGGCACUGUUCCUGGUGGAUGAGAGAGGAGGCAGGGGCUUCAGGAGAGCGAGGAGGAUCUCCACUCCUCUGGAUCGAAGAGGGGGGAGGAAGCUCUCGAUCGAGGCGGCGGGGUUUUCUGGCAGCUUCGAACCGAAGAGCUCGGGCUCGAGCAGUGGUUGGUGGGAGGAGGAAUGGGGGAAUCCCGAUGUGGAUUCGGUGGAGUGGCGGCGGCGAUGGGACAAACCCCCUAGAUUUUAGGGUUGCUGCCUAGGUCUAUAUAAAGCACUGGAUUUUUUGUUAGGGGCUAUCUGGAGCCUUCGAUCAAAAUCGGACGGUUUAGAAAGAAUAGGUUAGGGAGUCCAAAUAAUAAAACAGUGAUAUUUCGUAGAUGUUUGGGGAUGUUUCGGACACAGCGGUAGCGACAGCCCGAGUCGGGUCCGGGACAGCUUUCGGGCGCGCGCGCGAGGAGGGCCGCGGGCUGACGAGAGAGGUUAGGCUAGGCCUGGCGGUAUGUAGACUGUAUAGACGGUUUCGAGCUGAGAGAAGAGAAGAGAGAGAGCCCCAGCGACUGUUUCCGGAGACCGGAAACGUCCGACGUUAGACCGGCUAUAAUACCGCUAUAGUUUAACGGUUGGGCUAUCAAACGAACUCCGAAUGCGAUGAAACUUGACAGGCGGUCUAUCUACACUAUAAUAAGACCGCACGCCAACUUUCAACCCAUUCCGAGAACAUUUUCUGGCCACUUAUAAAAUAAUAUUUCGGACAUGCCGCGGGCGCGUGCAAGUGUGUCUGGGCUCAGAACGGACAACGGAGAGAACGAGGAGGCCGGGACGGAUGCAAGUUUCGAAAACAUGAUGAUGCAAUGCACAUGAUGACAUGAUAAGAUGCAACACGCAAGCAAAUGACUUGACAACGACAUCGAAUAACUGGAGGACACCUGGCUCAACGGUCUCGGGGCGUCACAACAUUCCACCAUUACGAGAGGAUCUCGUCCCGAGAUCUAGGAUGGCACCGGAGGGAAAACGAAAGAGAAAGAGAAGGGGUAAAACUAAGUUGCUUCUUUGGCCAAUGAGUGAAACCAAAGAACCUUGCAAAGGUUAAGCCAUUUCGAGAAAAGAAUACAACGGAGAUGACGAAGCUGAAAACACUCCGUUAGAAAAGAGGAACAAGGGAGAACAACUUCGGGCAGCACUCUGAUUGACAAGAAAAGGAAUUAAAUAAGAACUUGAUAAGAUGAGAAGAUACUUGAUGAAAUCACAAUACACGGCCUCCGUAACUAUUGAAUGAAUGGAACAAGGGGUGAGAAAGAUCUCAGACAACACUCCGGUUUAAAAGAGAUGAAAACUUGAUAAAAUGAAAGAGCUUAAGCAAAGGGACACAAUACUCCGGUUAAAAGGAUAAGCACGAUCAAAACAUGGUCCUGACAAUCCGAGUAGAUGGGUUGAGGAGAGCAACAUCACAAUGCCUCCAGAAUGGAAGAAUAGAAGAUAGUUAAUUGCCAUAGGAGAAUGGAGAAGAAAAUGCCAACUUCUGCUAAAAAUGAGCUUGGAGAGCACCCUUCGAGGAAGGUUAAAACGGAGUUGUUGGAAAACCAACAACGAAAAAGGGUAAGCUUGAUAUAGUCUUCUGGAAAACAACUCAAAACUAUGAGCUGAAAUUUCUGCCACUAACGGAAAUGAUAGAUUGGAUUGAUAUCAACAAGGAGACGAGAAACUAAUUUCACCGGGAGGAUAAAUGAAGAACUUGGGUCAUUUAUGAGCACCAUAAAUAGCAAUGAUCCUUAGGGAAGGCUUUAGGUGAACAAUUACCCUAGAUAACUCCAAUGACGAGAUUGAUAGAUUUAAAAUACCUCAUUCUUAACAACAUGUGAGUCAUGAAACAUGAACUCAAAUUAUCAAGAAUGACAUAAUACCACCUUCAAAUUAUACGGUAGAAGGAAUUGCACUCUGAAUAACAAGAUGAAGAAUGCUUGAGCUCCUCUGAAAAGAAUGUUGAUGAACCCUUCGAGAAGGAAUUAAGUCUUUGAUGAGCCAUCAAGAAUAAACUCUCAAAGAACUCCGAUAACGAAAGGAUGAUCAAACGAAAGGAAAAGAUAAGUAGAGAACACAAGGUGAAGCCUUGCGAUGAUUGGAUGAAGCUCUGCGACGAGAUAAGUAGAAAACUUGGAACUCCGGAAAAGAAAAGAUGAAUCAAGUGAAACCGAGAAUUUGAAGAACCUCCGGAAUAGGGAAUUAAUCACUUGGAUGAACAAGAAUAAGAAUUAUGUUAUGCUUGUCCUUCACCAAUUAAAUUGAUGAUAUACAAUGGAUUUGGCACACUACUUGGAUUUGGCACACUACUUAUUCUCGUAGAAAGGAUUAAGAUAGAUAUAGCACAAACUUGGGAAGAUCUUCAACGAACCACCGUAAGAAUUGAAACAACGAAUAAAUUGAUAUGAUAAAUGAAGGAAGAAGAAUCUUGAACGAGACACCGUAAGAAUUGAAAAAGAAUGAAUAAAAGAUAACGAAUCACCGGGACGAAUUUGCAAAUGAACGAAGAUGCUCGAGAGAAACUAGAUACAUGAGAACGAAGGGAUCACGACCUGAUUAGAGAUGUGACGCCUCGAGACUGUUGCGCCAGGUGUCGUCCAGUUAUUCGCUAUUGUUGCCUUGUCAUUUGUUUGCGUGUUGCAUCUUAUCAUGUCAUCAUGUGCAUUGCAUCAUCAUGUUUUAAAACUUGCAUUCGUCCGAGUUCUUCGAGUUCUCUCCGUUGUCCGUUCUGAGCCCAACCACACUUGCACGCGCCCGUGGCAUGUCCGAGAUAUUAUUUUAUAAGUGGCCGAAAAAUGUUCUCUGAAUGGGUUGAAAGUUGGCAUGCGGUGUUGUUAUGUUGUAGGUAGGCCGCCUGCCAAGUUUCAUCGCAUUCGGAGUUUGUUUGAUGCCCCAACGGAUAACUAUAGCGACUUUAUAGUCGGUCUAAUGUCGGACGUUUUCGGUCUCCGGAAACAGAUGCCGGGCCCUCUCUCUCUCUUCUCCCCCUCGCAGUCUCGCCACAGCCCACCUAGUCCAUCCUCCUUCCCCUCUUCGCUUCCGGAGUUGUCCGAUGCGACCGCACGGUCCGAAACCCUCUCUGCUCAGUGCAUCAAACCCCCUCGCGCGCGCGUCCAAAAAGUUGUCCCGGACCCGACCCGGACUGUCGCCACCGUUGUGUCCGGAUCAUCCCCAAACAUCUACAAAACGUCAUCAUUUUCUUAUUUGGGCUCCCUAGCCUAUUUUUCCCGACCGUCCAGUUACGAUCGGAGGGACGGAUUAGCCCUACCCAAAAAUCCUUUUGCUAUAUAUAUGUCAGACCAAACCCUAAAACUAGGUCAUUUGCCCCCCUCAGCCGUCGCCAAACUCCACCAAAUCCCCAUCGGGAUCUUCCCCAAUCCAGUUCCUCCUCGUUUUCCUCUCCUGCCAGAUCCAACCAGCGGCCCCGACCAACUCCCUUGAUUUCCGCUGUCGCCCAACCACAGCAAAGCUGCACCUCCUUCCCUACCCUCCUAUCUCUUCAUCGUCUCUUUCGAUCUCUCUCGCUCUCUCUCAAAUUCUCUCUCUCUCUUGCUAGGUACAUGAGCAACAGAAGGUCGCCCCUGCUGCCAUGGCCACCGUUUCCGUCGCUGUCUCAGGACCCGCCAUGGAGGACCCCGUCGCCCGCCAAGUACCUCGCCGGAGUACCCAACCAGGCCAUGACCUCGACGCCCUCCUCCCUCUGUUGUCUCUCCUAACCACUCAAACCCCCUCCCGUUUCUCUCUGUCAGGGGACCGAAGACAUGGCCGCGCCUCUCUUUGAACUCAACUGCCAUGGCCGUCCCGACCCCCUACUGCCUCGAGCGCCCCCGCAGGACCUCGCCGGACCACCAAGCGGCAACCUCCUGAGGUUCCCCGUACCCCAUGCCUUCCAUUUCUUCUCCUUCCUCCUGCAGUUCUUCCUCACAGUCUCUCUCUCUGAACCCUCUCUUGUUUAUUCAGCAGCAGCUCAUGUGGCAGCUACAGUUUGCUCGACCCCCCUGCCUCGAGCGUGUUGACCGCGCCCCUCCUCGUCGCCAUGGAUCCGCGCCAAUCUCCGCCUCCCCGCGCUCCGUUCCGCCCAUUUCGGCCGGUUCUCGCCGACCCCGUCGCCAAGACCCCUGCCGCCGUAUUCUACACCGCCUGAUGUUGCUUCUGUUCUUCAGAAACGAGGACGAACAUGCGCCUCGCCUGCACCCAUUGAUCGCGCCACCCCAUCUCCUCGUUCGGUCCAGCCUGCCAGCGCGCCUCUAGUUCAGGCCAAGGCCCAACACCUCUUCGCCCCAGCCAUAAACAGGCCUCAAGGCCCAAUGUGAGCAGCACCCUGGCCUUCCCCCUGUUGGGCUGCCCAGAUUCGGCCUGUUUCUUUUUUUCCCUGCUGACGAAUUUCCUAAUUUCCAAUGCAUGCAUAAGUACAUGAGGAUGCCAUUAUUUUGUUAAUAACCGUGCAUCGGAUUAAAACAAAGUUAAUAUGAAACUUGCUUAGAUUUUCAUCUAGUUUAAUAAUAUGCAACUUUCAUCUAUGUUUAAAAUGUUUAAAAUGUUGUUUGUUUAAAUUUGCUCCUAUGCCAUGCUAAAAUGGUUUAUUUGAUAACUAAAUAACCGUAACUCAGAAUUUAAUAAACUUUAUAUGUAAAUGGGGUAGAAAAUGCCUAGUUUAACAUGGUGGCUUUACUUUGCAUAUUUAAUAACUCUAAAAUUAUGUUUAGGGCAGAUCAGUACCAAACCUUAAAAUAUGCACAUGAGGAGUUUCCGGACUUGUUGUUUGUUGUUCCGGCCUCAUUUAAACUUGCCUAGAUAGGUAGUUUUGUUUUGCUUCACCUCUUGCCAUGCUAACAACAUUUAAUAUUGUUGGGUACAUAAAAGAGAUCGAACUAAAUAACUUGAAUGUGGUGUUUCGUCAAUAUGCAACGGAGUUGCAUAUUGAGCUCCACUUAAUUUGUAGGGUUGUUUGCGCACUUUGCCAUGCCAUGCUUCUUUAAACCGGACAUGCAUCAUACUCGGUUGUGCAUCUUGCCAUGCUUAUGUGGUGGUUGUUUACUAUGUUGUUUGCUUUCUUUCCGGUGUUGCUUCUUCGGGUUGGUUCCGAUAACGUCGCGUUUGUGAGGAUUCGUUCGUCUACGUCCGUUUGUCUUCUUCAUGGACUCGUUCUUCUUCCUUGCGGGAUUUCAGGCAAGAUGACCAUACCCUCGAAAUCACUUCUAUCUUUGCUUGCUAGUUGCUCGCUCUUUUGCUAUGCCUAUGCUGCGAUACCUACCACUUGCUUAUCAUGCCUCCUAUAUUGUUGAACCAAGCCUCUAACCCACCUUGUCCUAGCAAACCGUUGAUUGGCUAUGUUACCGCUUUGCUCAGCCCCUCUUAUAGCGUUGUUAGUUGCAGGUGAAGAUUGAAGUUUGUUCCUUGUUGGAACCUGGAGAUGUUGUUCCUUGUUGGAACAUGUUUACUUGUUGGGAUAUCACAAUAUCUCUUAUUUAAUUAAUGCAUAUUUAUACUUGGUAAAGGGUGGAAGGCUCGGCCUUAUGCCUGGUGUUUUGUUCCACUCUUGCCGCCCUAGUUUCCGUCAUAUCGGUGUUAUGUUCCCGGAUUUUGCGUUCCUUAUGCGGUUGGGUUAUAAUGGGAACCCCUUGACGGUUCGCCUUGAAUAAAACUCUUCUAGCAAUGCCCAACAUGGGUUUUACCAUUCGCCACCUAGCCUUUUCUUUUCCUUGGGUUCUGCAGACUCAAGGGUCAUCUUUAUUUUAACCCCCCCCCCCGGCCAGUGCUCCUCUGAGUGUUGGUCCAAACAGAGCCACUUGCAGCGCCACCUCAGGGAAACUCGAGGGCUGGUUUUAGUUAUACGUAGUGCUCAUCUGAGUGUGCCCUGAGAACGAGAUAUGUGCAGCUCCUAUCGGGAUUUGUCGGCACAUUCGGGCGGUGUUGCUGGUCUUGUUUUACCAUUGUCAAAAUGUCUUGUAACCGGGAUUCCGAGUCUGAUCAGGUCUUCCCGCUAGAAGGAAUAUCCUUUGUUGACCGUGAAAGCUUGUGAUGGGCUAAGUUGGGACACCCCUGCAGGGAUUUGAACUUUCGAAAGCCAUGCCCGCGGUUAUGGGCAGAUGAGAAUUUGUUAAUGUCCGGUUGUAGAAAACCUGAAGUUGACCUUAAUUAAAAUACAUCAACCGCGUGUGUAACCGUGAUGGUCUCUUUCUGGCGGAGUCCGGGAAGUGAACACGGUGUUGGAGUUAUGCUUGACGUAGGUUGUUCUAGGAUCACUUCUUGAUCAUAGUUGUUCGAUCGUGCUUUUGCCUUCUCUUCUCGCUCUCAUUUGCGUAUAUGUUAGCCACCAAAUAUGCUAGUCGCUUGCUGCAGCUCCACCUCAUACCUUUUACCUUACCCAUAAGCUUAAAUAGUCUUGAUCGCGAGGGUGUGAGAUUGCUGAGUCCCCGUGACUCACAAAUACUUCCAAAACCAUCUUGCAGGUGCCGAUGAUACCUUGCAGAUGACAGAACCGAGCUCAAGGAGGAGCUCGAUGGAGAUUCGUGUUCGUUUUGUUGUUCCGUUUCCAGUUGAUCAGUAGCGGAGCCCAGUUGGGGUCGAUCGGGGAUCUGUGUAGCAUUUGGGUAGUCUUCUUUUAUUUUGGGUUCCGUAGUCGGACCUUGAUUGUAUCUGGUUGAUGUAAUGCUUUAUUCAUAUAAUUGUGUGAAGUGGCGAUUGUAAUUCAACUAUGUAUCUUUUUCCCUUAUGUAUUACAUGGGUUGUGUGAAGAUUACCUCACUUGCGACAUUGCUUUCAAUGCGGUUAUGCCUCUAAGUCGUGCUUCGACCCAUAGGAGAUAUAGCCGCAUCGAGGGUGUGACAAGUUGGUAAUCAGAGCCUUCCCCGACCUAAGGAGCCCCCUGCUUGAUCGAAUCGAUGGCGUUAUUGAGUCUAGAAAAAUGUUUUGAGUCAUUUAGGAUUAUAUAUAUCGGAGAGUUAGGAAUUCUUUUUACUCCUCAGUCCCUUCGUCGCUCUGGUGAGGCAUCCUGACGUAGAGUUUUGACUCUUCUCUUCUCAAAUUUCACUAAAUUUUUUUAGGAUCACACGGGUAUAUUGGAAUUGUUCCGAUGGUUUUGUGACGAGAACAUUGUUCUUGGUGCCUCCUACCAUUUAAGGGUUGUGACAGUGUCCCGGGGAGUUGAGCUCCGAGGUGUUGUCGUCACAAUCUUAUCGUUGCAGUUUUGGAAUACCUGAGUUUAGUUUCGCCGACAUCGAAAAUAUCUUUUAUGCAGUUGUUGGUGAGAUAACCUCGACGCCACCCUGUACUGGGGUGGGAGUUCGGGAGUAUUGCCAUAACUCGUAUAACGGAUGCUUUUCGAAGGUUGAGGUAAAUGAUUUCCGAAGGUUUCUUGGUUAUGUGUUGAAGGAUGGAUACAGCUGGAUGUAGGAUUUGUUAGUUUUGGGUGAGAUAUUAUGCUUCCCCUGCAUCCCCAACACCUGAUUGCAUAACUGGGAAAAUUUCGGGAGUUUAUAAGUGGGAAUUCAAGUAGCUCUUAGGAUAUCUUUCCGACAGAUGUAUGAUAUGAAAUUGGGGUUCAACGUCUAGUGGUCCGCCUAUCCACGGUUGGUUUUACAGUGGUCUCAUUGUGUCUUAAAGAGUCCUUGGCUAUGCCGACUCGGGGACGCUUUGUAUGUCAUGUGCACUGCCUUGUACAUGAUGGUGCUGUACGAUCGAGCCCAUGUAGGCCCCACCAUGAAAACUUUGGACGAAAUCUCUAUCAUAUGUUUGUUCCGGCUUAUUUUGCAAGCCAAUCCUUUGUUUUGUUUUGAGUUGUGGUAUCUGAGUUGCUUCGAAGUCAAAUGUUGAUUCCAUACCUGUACCUAAGCGGUGUUCUCAUACUCCAAUGUAAAUACCAAUCCUUCUUGAUUAUCGAGAUUGUCAUGUCAAUCCUUUUCAACCGGCGUAUUUCUCUCCAAGUGGAUCCGAUCAACAUCUGCAAGAUCAACUCAAGUUUUCUCAAUGUUGUUUGUUUCAUCCAUCUCCAAGUUGUCUUUGUUUUUCCCGCCCUCCCUCCCUUGUUUUUUUUUCUCCGAAGACUCAUAUAUCUCAAUCAAGUAUCCUUUUAUUCUUGUGAAGUCUCUCCAUUCUUUUCCGUCAAUAUUCUUACCCGGUGGUUCUCGUGAAGAUGCUCUACAAGUUCAUCAUUAUUCGUUCUUUUCUUCUCCGGUGGAUUCAAUUCAAGCUUUCAGUGCUGAUCAUAUCUUUUUCCUCGUUUCAAAUACCCUCUCAUGCCGGUUCUCCUCAUAUUCAUAGACUUCUCGCUAUUCUAUUAUUCUGGAGUGCUGAAGAUAUCUCCAAGAUUCGUGUUUCCACUCUACUUUCAUUCAAACUCUUACGAGGAUGUUAUCUCUUUCAAGUCAUUUAAUUCAACCGGUGCAAUCCUCUCUUUUAAAUCAUUUCAAUGGUGUUUCUUUUGAGUGGGCCCAUAACCCACAUGUCUUUUCCUAGGAUCUUACCUGACUCUUCUUAUUCUCCCGGAGUUAGUCUCAAAUUCAUUUCAAAGUUUGACGUAAGAAUGAAUUGUCAUCAGUCAAAUGCCUUUCUCCAAGAUCUUUCAUUUCUUUUCAUCUUUGGCUCAACCUCUCCUCUUUUAAUCAUUCCGGAGUGUCUCAACGAUUCAUGGUGGUGUUUCUCGUCGUCAUUCUCAGAUUUUGAAGACCGAAAAAGAGUUUCUCUUAAAUCUUGAUCCAUUCUCUUCAACAUCCGUGAUUCUAGCUUGUUGCCAUCCUCUCAUAAUUAUUUGCGAUUGUGGGAAUUCUUUUCACCUAUCUGGAGCAAUUCAAGAGUCUUCUCAGUUUGAUUAUCCGGAGUCCAUCAUUUUAGGUUUUUUUUCAUUCUCAGCUUUCAGCUCUCUUUCUCUAAAUUUUACCGGUGCAUCGAUCAAAUAUCCUCUAAUCAGUGCAUGAUCUCUUCGUUCUCUCAUAUAUAAUUUAUCUCAAGCAUCUUCAUUCAUUGGCUAAUUUUUCCCAGUGUUUCUUUAUCUUCUCUUCAUUCAUUUUCAAUUCUUACUGUGGUUCGUUCAAUAGUUCUCGUCAUUCGUUAUCAUAUCAAUUUAUUCGUUGUUUCUAUCCUACCGGUGGUUCGUUGAAGAUUUUCUCGAGUUUAUGCGAUAUCUCUCUUAAUCCUUUCUACGAGAAUAAGUAAUAUGCCAAAUCCGUUGCUUGCCAUCAAUUAAAUUGGUGAAGGUUAAGCAUAAUGUAAUUCUUAUUCUUGUUCCAUCCAUAUGUUAAUCUUUUCUUCCGGAGUUUGCUCAUGACGAAUAGAUUCUUGAUCUCUUUGGUUAAUCUUUCUUUUACGGAUCUCCAAGUUAUUUCAAUUAUAUCAUUUCAAAGCUCCAUCUAAUCAUUGCAAGGUUUAAAUCUUGUUCUUUUCAUCCUUCACUUCCUUUUGAUCAUCCUUUUAUUACCGGAGUUCUCACGAAGGUUCUACAUGAUGGUUCAUCAAGGAUUUAAUUCCUUCUCGAAGUGUUCAUCAAGAUUCUUUUCAGAGGAGCUCAAGCAUUCUUCUUCUUGCUAUCCGGAGUGCAAUUCUUUCUUCCGUAUCAUUGGAGGUGGUAUUAUGUCAUUCUUGAUAAUUGGAGUUCAUGUUUCAUGAUUCACAGGUUGUUAAGAAUGGAGUAUUUUAAAUCCAUCAAUCUCGUCAUUUGAGUUAUCUUGGGUAAUAUUUCACCUAAAGCCUUCCCUAACUAUUGUUGCUAUUAUGGUGCUUAUAAAUGACUCAAGUUCUUUUAUCCGCCUGGUGAAAUAAGUUCUCGUCUCCUUGUUGAUAUCAAUCCAAUCUAUCGUUUCCGUCAGUGGCAGAAUUUCAACUCAGCUUUGAGAGGUUUUCCAUAAGCCCACAACAAGCUCACUCUUUUCGUUGUUGGGUUUUCCAACAACUCUGUUCGACCAUUCUCCUAAGGAUGCCUUUUCAAGCUCUUUUGUGGCAUAAGAUGGCAUUUUCGUCUCCAUUCUUUUAUUUCAAUUAUCUAUCUUCUAUUCUUUUGUUACGGAGCCUUUGUGAUGUUUCUCUUUUCUCUCAUCAUCUUGGAUCGUGUUCUUUUCGUGUUUAUCCAUUUAACCAUAGUGUUGUGUCCUUUUGCUCAAGCUCUUUCAUUUUAUCAACUAUUUUAUCUCUCUUCAAUCGGAGUGCUGCCCGAAGUUGUUCUUCCUUGUCCCUCUUUUCUAACGGAGUGCUUUCAACUUCGUUCUUUUCCGUUGUAUUCUUUCUUUCAUGAAUUUGUUCAACCUCUCAAGGUGCGUGGUUUCACUCGUUUGUCCAAGAAGCUACUUAGUUUUACCGCUGCUCUUCCUCUUCCUUUUCCCUCCAGUGUCAUCCUAGAUCUCGGGACGAGAUCCUCUCGUAGUGGUGGAGUGUUGUGACGCCCCGAGACUGUUGCGCCAGGUGUCGUCCAGUUAUUCGCUAUUGUUGCCUUGUCAUUUGUUUGCGUGUUGCAUCUUAUCAUGUCAUCAUGUGCAUUGCAUCAUCAUGUUUUAAAACUUGCAUUCGUCCGGGUUCUUCGAGUUCUCUCUGUUGUCCGUUCUGAGCCCAACCACACUUGCACGCGCCUGCGGCAUGUCCGAGAUAUUAUUUUAUAAGUGCCCGAAAAAUGUUCUCUGAAUCGGUUGAAAGUUGGCAUGUAGUGUUGUCAUGUUGUAGGUAGGCCGCCUGCCAAGUUUCAUCGCAUUCGGAGUUUGUUUGAUGCCCCAACGGAUAACUCUAGCGACUUUAUAGUCGGUCUAACGUCGGACGUUUUUGGUCUCCGGAAACAGAUGUCGGGCCCUCUCUCUCUUCUCCCCCUCGCAGUCUCGCCACAACCCACCUAGUCCAUCCUCCUUCCCCUCUUCGCUUCUGGAGUUGUCCGAUGCGACCGCACGGUCCGAAACCCUCUUUGCUCAGUGCAUCAAAGCCCCUCGCGCGCGCGUCCGAAAAGUUGUCCCGGCCUCAUUUAAACUUGCCUAGAUAGGUAGUUUUGUUUUGCUUCACCUCUUGCCAUGCUAACAACAUUUAAUAUUGUUGGGUACAUAAACGAGAUCGAACUAAAUAACUUGAAUGUGGUGUUUCGUCAAUAUGCAACGGAGUUGCAUAUUGAGCUCCACUUAAUUUGUAGGGUUGUUUGCGCACUUUGCCAUGCCAUGCUUCUUUAAACAGGACAUGCAUCAUACUCGGUUGUGCAUCUUGCCAUGCUUAUGUGGUGGUUGUUUACUAUGUUGUUUGCUUUCUUUCCGGUGUUGCUUCUUCGGGUUGGUUCCGAUAACGUCGCGUUUGUGAGGAUUCGUUCGUCUACGUCCGUUUGUCUUUUUCAUGGACUCGUUCUUCUUCCUUGCGGGAUUUCAGGCAAGAUGACCAUACCCUCGAAAUCGCUUCUAUCUUUGCUUGCUAGUUGCUCGCUCUUUUGCUAUGCCUAUGCUGCGAUACCUACCACUUGCUUAUCAUGCCUCCUAUAUUGUUGAACCAAGCCUCUAACCCACCUUGUCCUAGCAAACCGUUGAUUGGCUAUGUUACCGCUUUGCUCAGCCCCUCUUAUAGCGUUGUUAGUUGCAGGUGAAGAUUGAAGUUUGUUCCUUGUUGGAACCUGGAGAUGUUGUUCCUUGUUGGAACAUGUUUACUUGUUGGGAUAUCACAAUAUCUCUUAUUUAAUUAAUGCAUAUAUAUACUUGGUAAAGGAUGGAAGGCUCGGCCUUAUGCCUGGUUUUUUGUUCCACUCUUGCCGCCCUAGUUUUGCGUCAUAUCGGUGUUAUGUUCCCGGAUUUUGCGUUCCUUACGCGGUUGGCUUAUAAUGGGAACCCCUUGGCAGUUCGCCUUGAAUAAAACUCCUCCAGCAAUGCCCAACAUUGGUUUUACCAUUCGCCACCUAGCCUUUUCUUUCCCUUGGGAUCUACAGACUCAAGGGUCAUCUUUAUUUAAACCCCCCUGGGCCAGUGCUCCUCUGAGUGUUGGUCCAAAUAGAGCCACUUGCAGCGCCACCUCGGGGAAACUCGAGGGCUAGUUUUAGUUGUACGUAGUGCUCAUCUGAGUGUGCCCUGAGAACGAGAUAUGUGCAGAUCCUAUCGGGAUUUGUCGGCACAUUCGAGCGAUGUUGCUGGUCUUGUUUUACCAUUGUCGAAAUGUCUUGUAACCGGGAUUCCGAGUCUGAUCGGGUCUUCCCGCUAGAAGGAAUAUCCUUCGUUAACCGUGAGAGCUUGUGAUGGGCUAAGUUGGGACACCCCUGCAGGGAUUUGAACUUUCGAAAGCCGUGCCCGCGGUUAUGGGUAGAUGGGAAUUUGUUAAUGUCCGGUUGUAGAAAACCUGAAGUUGACUUUAAUUAAAAUACAUCAACCGCGUGUGUAAUCGUGAUGGUCUCUUUCCGGCGGAGUCCAGGAAGUGAACACGGUGUUGGAGUUAUGCUUGACGUAGGUUGUUCUAGGAUCACUUCUUGAUCAUAGUUGUUCGACCGUGCUUUUGCCUUCUCUACUCGCUCUCAUUUGCGUAUAUGUUAGCCACCAAAUAUGCUAGUCGUUUGCUGCAGCUCCACCUCAUACCUUUUACCUUACCCAUAAGCUUAAAUAGUCUUGAUCGCGAGGGUGUGAGAUUGCUGAGUCCCCGUGACUCACAGAUACUUCCAAAACCAGCUUGCAGGUGCCGAUGAAACCAUGCAGAUGACAAAACCGAGCUCAAGGAGGAGCUCGAUGGAGAUCGUGUGCAUUAUGUUGUUCCGUUUCCACUUGAUCAGUAGCGGAGCCCAGUUGGCGUCGAUCGGGGAUCUGUGUAGCAUUUGGGGUAGUCUUCUUUUAUUUUGGGUUCCGUAGUCGGACCUUGAUUGUAUCUGGUUGAUGUCAUGCUUUAUUCAUAUAAUUGUGUGAAGUGGCGAUUGUAAGCCAAUUAUGUAUCUUUUUCCCUUAUGUAUUACAUGGGUUGUGUGAAGAUUACCUCACUUGUGACAUUGCUUUCAAUGCGGUUAUGCCUCUAAGUCGUGCUUCGACCCGUAGGAGAUAUAGCCGCAUCGAGGGCGUUACAAGAGAUCACUUGAACGGAGCACCGAUUAGAUUUGGAGAACCAUAGCUGAAAGCUGAGAAUGAAUAAAUUCUGAGAUGAUGGGUUCCGAAGAAACAAACUGAAAAGAAUCUUGAAUUGCUCCGGAUAGGUGAAAAAAUUCUCACAAUUCAAAAACAACUAUGAGAGGAUGGCAACAAGCUAGAAUCACGAAUCUUGAAGAGAAUGGAGCAAGAUUUAAGAGAAACUCUUCUUCGGUCUUCAAAAUCUGAGAAUGACGACGAGAAACACCAGCAUGAAUAGUUGAGACACUCCAAAAUGAUUAAAAGAGGAGAGGUUGAGCCAAAGAUGAAAAGAAUUUGAAAGAUCUUGGAGAAAAACAUAUGACAGAUGAUGAAUCAUUCUUACGUCAAACUUUAAAAGAAUUUGAGGAUAGCUCCGGGAAAAUAAGAAGAGUCAGGUAAGAUCUUAGGAAAAGACCUGUGGGUUAGGGCCCACUCAAAAGAUACACCGUUGAACGAUUACUUGAAAAGAGAGAUUGCACCAGUUGAAUUAAAAGGCUUAAAUGAUAUAACAUCCUCAAAAGAGUUUGAACGAAAGCAGAGUGGUAACAUGAAUCUUCGAAAUAUCUUGAGCACUCCGGAACAAUUGAAUAGCGAGAAGUGAAUGAUUAAGAAUUGCACCGGCAUGAGAAAGCAUUGAAAUGAGGAAAGGGUAUGAUCAACAAAGCUUGACUUGAAACCACCAGAGAAGAAAAGAAUGAAGAAUUACGAACGAGUAGAGCAUCUUCAUGAGAAACACCGGGUAAAAACAUGAAGGAAAAAGAAUGGAGAGACUUCCAUCAAUAAAAUGGAUAGUGAUUAAGAAAUCUGAAUCCUUGAAGAAAAAGGGUGGGUGGGUGGGAAAACAAAGACAACUUGGAACAAAUGAAGCAAACACCGUUGAGAAAGCUGAGAUUGAAUCUUGCGGAUGUUGAAAAUGGACGGAUCCGCUUGAACAGAAGCACACCGGUGAAAAGGAUUGGCAAGACAAUCUCGAUGAUCAAGAAGGAUUACUAUUCACAUAGGAAUAUGAGAACACCACUUAGACAAGGGAUGGAAUCAACAUUUGCCUUCGAAGCAACUCGAAUACCACAACUCAAAACAAAACAAAGGAUUGGCUUGCAGAAUAAGCCGAAACAAACAUAUGAUAGAGAUUUCGUCCAAAGUUUUCGUGGUGGGGCCUACACGGGCUCGAUCAUACAAUACCAUCAUGUACAAGGCAGUGCACAUGACAUAUGAAGCGUCCCCGAGUCGGCAUAGCCAAGGACUCUUUAAGACACAACGAGACCACUGUAAAACCAACCGUGGAUAGGCGGACCACUAGACGUCGAACCCCAAUUUCAUAUCAUACAUCUAUUAGAAAGAUAUCCUAAGAGCUACUUGAAUUCCCACUUAUAAACUCCCGAAAUUUUCCGGUUAUGCAAUCAGGUGUUGGGGAUACAGGGGAAGCAUAAUAUCUCACCCAAAACUAGCAAAUCCUACAUCCAGCUGUAUCCAUCCUUCAACACAUAACAAAGAAACCUUAGGAAAUCGUCUACCUCAACUUUCGAAAAGCAUCCAUUAUACGAGUUAUGGCAAUACUCCCGAACUCCCGCCCCAGUACUGGGUGGCAUCGAGGUUAUCUCACCAACAACUGCAUAAAAGAGUUUUCGAUGUCGGCGAACCUAAACUCAGGUAUUCUAGAACUGCAACGAUAAAAUUGUGACGAUAACACCUCGGAGCUCAACUCCCCGGGACACUACCACAACCCCUAAAUGACAGGAGGCACCAAGAACAAUGUUCUCGUCACAAAUCGAUCAGAACGAUUCCAAGAUACCCGCGUGAUCCUAAAUUUUUUUUAGUGAAAUUUGAGAAGAGAAGAGUCAAAACUCUACGUCAGGAUGCCUUACCAGAGCGAUGAAGGGACUGAGGAGUAAAAAGAAUUCCUAACUCUCCGACCUAUAAUUCCUAAAUGACUCAAAACAUUUUUCUAGACUCAACAACGCCAACGAUUCGAUCAAGCAGGGGGCUCCUAAGUCGGGGAAGGCUCUGAUACCAACUUGUAACGCCCUCGAUGCGGCUAUAUCUCCCACGUGUCGAAGCACGACUUAGAGGCAUAACCGCAUUGAAUGGAAUGUCGCAAGUGAGGUAAUCUUCACACAACCCAUGUAAUACAUAAGGGAAAAGGAUACAUAGUUGGCUUACAAUCGCCACUUCACACAAUACAUGAAUAGAGCAUUACAUCAUCCAAAUGCAAUAAAGGUCCGACUACGGAACCAAAAUAAAAGAAGAACCCCAAAUGCGACAAGGUCCCCGAUCAACCCCAACUGGGCUCCACUAUUGAUCAACUAGAACGAAACAACACAAAGGACAAGAUCUUCAUCGAGCUCCUCCUGAGCUUGGUUGCGUCAUCUGCACGGAGUCAUCGGCACCUGCAAGCUGGUUUUGGAAGUACCUGUGAGUCACGGGGACUCAGCAAUCUCACACCCUCGCGAUCAAGACUAUUUAAGCUUAUGGGUAAGGUAAAGGUAUGAUGUGGAGCUGCAACAAGCGACUAGCAUAUAUGGUGGCUAACAUACGCAAAAGAGAGCGUGAAGAGAAGGCAAAGCACGGUCGAGAAACUAUGAUCAAGAAGUGAUCCUAGAACAACCUACGUCAAACAUUACUCCAACAUCGUGUUCACUUCCCGGACUCCGUCGAAAAGAGACCAUCACGGUUACACACGCGGUUGAUGUAUUUUAAUUAAGGUCAACUUCAGGUUUUCUACAACCGGACGUUAAUAAAUUCCCAUCUGCCCAUAACCGCGGGCACGGCUUUCGAAAGUUCAAAUCCCCGCAGGGGUGUCCCAACUUAGCUCAUCACAAGCUCUCACGGUCAACGAAGGACAUUCCUUCUAGCGGGAAGACCCGAUCAAACUCGAAAUCCCGGUUACAAGACAUUUCGACCAUGGUAAAACAAGUCCAGCAACACCGCCCGAAUGUGCCGAUAAAUCCCAAUAGGAGAUGCACAUAUCUCGUUCUCAGGGCACACUCAGAUGAGCACUAUGUACAACUAAAACUAGCCCUCGAGUUUCCCCGAGGUGGCGCUGCAAGUGGCUCUGUUUGGACCAACACUCAGAGCAGCACUGGNNNNNNNNNNNNNNNNNNNNNNNNNNNNNNNNNNNNNNNNNNNNNNNNNNNNNNNNNNNNNNNNNNNNNNNNNNNNNNNNNNNNNNNNNNNNNNNNNNNNNNNNNNNNNNNNNNNNNNNNNNNNNNNNNNNNNNNNNNNNNNNNNNNNNNNNNNNNNNNNNNNNNNNNNNNNNNNNNNNNNNNNNNNNNNNNNNNNNNNNNNNNNNNNNNNNNNNNNNNNNNNNNNNNNNNGACCCUUGAGUCUGCAGAACCCAAGGGAAAAAAGGCUAGGUGGCGAAUGGUAAAACCAAUGUUGGGCAUUGCUGGAGGAGUUUUAUUCAAGGCGAACUGUCAAGGGGUUCCCAUUAUAACCCAACCGCGUAAGGAACGCAAAAUCCGGGAACAUAACACCGAUAUGACAGAAACUAGGGCGGCAAGAGUGGAACAAAACACUAGGCAUAAGGCCGAGCCUUCCACCCUUUACCAAGUAUAUAGAUGCAUUAAUUAAAUAAGAGAUAUUGUGAUAUCCCAACAAGUAAACAUGUUCCAACAAGGAACAACAUCUCCAUGUUCCAACAAGGAACAAACUUCAUCUUCACCUGCAACUAAUAACACUAUAAGAAGGGCUGAGCAAAGCGGUAACAUAGCCAAACAACGGUUUGCUAGGACAAGGUGGGUUAGAGGCUUGGUUCAACAAUAUGGGAGGCAUGAUAAGCAAGUGGUAGGUAUCGCAGCAUAGGCAUAGCAAAAGAGCGAGCAACUAGCAAGCAAAGAUAGAAGUGAUUUCGAGGGUAUGGUCAUCUUGCCUGAAAUCCCGCAAGGAAGAAGAACGAGUCCAUGAAGAAGACAAACGGACGUAGUCGAACGGAUCCUCACAAUGCAACGUUAUCGGAACCAACCCGAAGAAGCAACACCGGAAAAGAGCAAACAACAUAGUAAACAACCACCACAUAGACAUAGCAUGAUCUGCAAAAAAGUAUGAUGCAUGUCCGGUUUAAAGAGGGCAUGGCAUGGCAAAAUGCACAAGCAAUCCUACAAAUUAAGUGGAGCUCAAUAUGCAACUCCAUUGCAUAUUGACGAAACACCACGUGACUUAUUUAGUCCGAUCUCGUUUAUGUACCCAACAAGAUUAAAUGUUGAUUAACAUGGCAAGAGGUGAAGCUAAGUAAAACUACCUAUCUAGUCAAGUUUAAAUGAGGCCGGAAGCAACGAACAACAAUUCCGGAAAAAUCCCAUAUGCAUAUAUUAGGUGUGUUACGGUUCUGCCCUAAACACAAUUUUAGAGUUGUUAAACAUGCAAAUUGAGGCCACCAAGUUAAACUAGGCAUUUUUCCACCCCAUUUACAUAUAAAGUUUGUUAGGUUUGGAGCUACGGUUAUUUAGUUAUGAAAUAAAUCAUUUUAGCAAGUUAAUUAAGCAAGUUUAAACAAACAACAUCUAAAGCAUUUUAAACAUAGAUGAAAGUUGGAUAUUAGUAAACUAGAUGAAUUUCUAAGCAAGUUUCAUAUAUAAAGUUUUUCCAUGUGAUGCAUAGUUUGAGAGUUAUUAAAUGUAUGAACAUGAGGGUUUUUUCUGCAAAAGUGCUCUCUCUCUGGGAUAAAGGCAAAAUCGCAGACCUGAAAAAAAGAGGAACUGGGCCGAAUCUGGCCGGCCCAACAAGAGAAAAAAAACAAGAGGAGGGGGCACUUGGGGGCUGCUCACCCUGGGAUUGGCCCAACUGGAGGAGGAGGCCGGGCAGCUGGGCCUCGCGCAGCUGUCAACGAGAGAAGGAGGACUCGGCGCUUGUCGUCGUCCUCGCAUGCUCGCAUCUAGAAACAGGGAAGCAGCGACCGAUGCGGAGGAGACAGCAGCAGGACGAACUCCGGCGGCGCUCGGAACCAGCAGGAGACGGCGAAGGCAAGGGGAAUCCGAUCGGAUCCAAGGCGGAGCGACUGGAUCAGGCAAGGGUCGACUUGGAGCUCCAGGCGUCGGUGUUCUUCGCGGCUUGGUGCAGUUCGGCGCAGAGGAGCGGCGGUGCUGAUAGCCUACUCCGGCGAGAGGACGGCGAGGGAGCCUGGCGGGCGUUGGAAAGCAGCAGAAGGGCCGGCCUUGGAGCAGAUUGGGCGCAGGGAUCCAGGACCCGUGAGGGGGAGAGGGGCGGCCAACAUUCCUGGGGCUUGGCCGGCUCGUUGAAGACGAGCAGCAGCGGGUCAACGCAGGCGGGGGCUCGCUGCAACGCAGAGACGAGUCGGGGACGGACUUGGUGCCGCGGAGCUCGGGGCCAUGGCGAGCGGAGCACCUGCGAAGGGGAAGAGAGAGGUCAGGGACGGGUGAGAGGAGAUGAAGCACGGGAAGGAGAGGGGCGGCACUGUUCCUGGUGGAUGAGAGAGGAGGCAGGGGCUUCAGGAGAGCGAGGAGGAUCUCCACUCCUCUGGAUCGAAGAGGGGGGAGGAAGCUCUCGAUCGAGGCUGCGGGGUUUUCUGGCGGCUUCAAACCGAAGAGCUCGGGCUCGAGUAGUGGUUGGUGGGAGGAGGAAUGGGGGAAUCCCGAUGUGGAUUCGGUGGAGUGGCAGCGGCGAUGGG
rnacentral:lncRNA from 1 species